rnacentral:rRNA from 1 species
UACGUAGGGGGCAAGCGUUGUCCGGAAUCAUUGGGCGUAAAGCGCGCGUAGGCGGCCCGGUAAGUCCGUUGUAAAAGUCGAAGGCUCAACCUUCGAAAGCCGAUGGAUACUGCCGGGCUAGAGUCCGGAAGAGGCGAGUGGAAUUCCUGGUGUAGCGGUGGAAUGCGCAGAUAUCAGGAGGAACACCCAUAGCGAAGGCAGCUCGCUGGGACGGUACUGACACUGAGGCGCGACAGCGUGGGGAGCAAACAGG